UUACAAUCGUGUUACAUCGACUCAAUCGGGAACUCUCGGACAAUUAUCAUUAAAAUCGUCAAUCUCCUUCGCAGUGGUCUCCCUUAUACUAGAAGAGACCAUAAGGGGAGGAUAAAAUGUGCAGUUGUAUCAAAAUGAAAUUCCCUGGUCCAACAUGUCAGGCACUUGGCAUCAGCUGUGAACAUUGCAAAAACUUGACUCGUUGAACAAUGGAAAUAAACGGUGUACGGAAGAAACCCCCUCCGGAAGAAACCCCCUUCGCUAAAAACGGCAGGGCGGAAGAUACCCCCUUUCAUAGUUUACAUACGCGGAAGAAACCCCCUCGCUAGUUUUGCAUAGGCGGAAGAAACCCCCUCGCUAGUUUUGCAUAGGCGGAAGAAACCCCCUUCCAUAACGGAACAAACCCCCUUUCAGACGAUUUAGUUACAUUCAAACGCACGGUAAUUGUUUACAGAAAUUCACUUUCAUUUUCAGAAAGUUCCCGGGAAGCAUGAUUGCAUGAUUCAAUUUUUUUUUAAGACGAAUGCUUCGGUUAUUGUAGGAAAAUAUGUACGAAAUAUCUUCGUCACUAUCGGCUCUGGGCGCUAAUUUUGUGUUUUUGUUAUUUUUAUCAAUCUAGUACAAGUUAACGCAUAUAAAAUGGUAUAAUCUUACUGAAAGGAGUGCAAGACAAAUUCACACGAGCAUCUCAUCAGCAUAUAACAGUUUGGAAAUAGAUUUUCGCACCUUUAUUUAAUUAUAUAAAAGGUACUUUAAUGUACCGGCUAUUGUAGAUAAUGAUGAGAAGUUGUAUCAUGAUCGGCGCCUUUGCGGCUCGUGUGAAGUUAUGUACAGUUUUUUAAUUACAUUAGCAUUCGGCUAUAAUUGUGUGAUUUUAGGGAAUAAUUUGAUCUUUGUAAAUAAAUGUAAAUAUAUGCCUGUUUAUCGUUAAUAAAUGCGUGUCUUUUUUCAACAACAAAUUGUUUACUAGAAUUGCGUUUUAAUAUAUGCUUGUUUGAGAUCUUAGUAAAUAAAUGUAAAUAUAUGCCUGUUUUAUCAUUAAAUGCGUGUCCUUUUUUUGCAACAACAAUUUGUUUAAUGUUUUCUAGUAUAUGCUUGCUUGAUCUUUGUACAUAAAUGUUAAUAUAUUUCAUUCUAUUUUUGUCUAUUUUAUCUUUCAAUAAUAUUUCUUUCCCCCAUUCAUACAUUAUUCGUUUUAUGACCAUCUUGAUUAAUUCUUCACAGCUUGUGAACAAACGGCCGGUACACUCCUAUAAUCAGAUUUUCGCACCUUCAUUCAAUUAUCACGAUAACGAUGUUUGAGUUUCACAGAUUGAAUAUUUAGUGUGUAUCAUUAACAACUUCAUUAACAACUUGUGAACAAACGGCCGGUACAUUUCUUUACUGUAAAUCCGAAACACACUCCCGUAAGUUGGUAUUAACGCGUUUUUAAAACGAAACACACUUCCGAAUGUAAAUAUUACCACAACGUUGAAAUAUUUUUGCGGGAAAGACUUAACACUUACGAAGGGGGUUUAUUCCGCCUGUCUGAAAACACGCAGGGGGUUUAUUCCGCCUGUCUGAAAACUCGAAGGGGGUUUGUUCCGCCUAUGCAAAACUAACGAGGGUGUUUCUUCCGCGUAUGCAAAAUGUGAAAGGGGGUUUCUUCCGCUAUGCCGUUUUUAGGGAAGGGGGUUUCUUCCGAAGGGGGUUUAUUCCGGUAAUCGAAAUAAACUAAUUCUGCAAGAAAGAAAAGCAGGAGUGUUGGUAUGGCCUAUCAGAGAGGAUACACAGACUGUAGAGAGAAAGUUCAUUCUCGAUGUUUUCGACCUGCCAGAGUGCAUUACCUCAGGACGACGGUGUUGUUUUUUUUCCAAAUUAUGAACAUUAUGACAUAUUGUUCAAUCUCUAGAAGAAAUUGUUCUUUUAAACAACACAUGUAUUGCAAGUAACAUUACUGUUGUUUAAUACAUUUAAGAGCAAAAGGGUUUUAUUAUGUUGUUUGUGUUUGUCAGCGGUAUUGAUUUUUUCCUGGACAAUAAACUAUUAAAUGUU